CUGCCCGGGUUUAUUGUUCGGAGUUUGCUCUCCUAGGUGAAUUGCCUACCACGGCUAACGACCUCCACCUGCCCGGGUUUAUUGUUCGGAGUUUGCUCUCCUAGGUGAAUUGCCUACCACGGCUAACGACCUCCACCUGCCCGGGUUUGUAUAGAGUUUGCUCUCCUAGGUGAAUUGCCUACCACGGCUAACGAGCCUCACCUGCCCGGGUUUGUUUAGAGUUUGCUCUCCUAGGUGAAUUGCCUUCCACGGCUUACGAGCCUCACCUGCCCGGGUUUGUAUAGAGUUUGCUCUCCUAGGCAGAUUGCCUACCACGGCUAACGAGCUCCACCUGCCCGGGUUUGUAGCCGGAAGAUCUCCGGCACCUCCGUCGGGGCCCCGAGGGACGCCGAGGAGCCCUGCCUGGAGCCCUCCAUUCCUGCCAUGCUCGCCAGGGAGACCUUGGGCUCGCUGGCGCUCCACACCCCUGCCGAGGCGAGGAUGCAAGAACUCGCUUCUUAAAACUACCAGACUGGAUUAUAAAAUUAAUCAUAAUUACUGUGAAGGCGCCGGUCACCACGUUUAUCGGUUCAGGGAUGGAAGACCGACGGGCCUGGGAAACGCGCACAAGCAUCCAAAG